GUACCUACCUGUCAGGGGAGAUAACAUGAUCAAGAAGGUGUUCCCCCCUCCACCCCCAGGGUGAGACUUAUCUGUUGCACUUGAGAUGUGCUGACUCCUGUAAUUUCCCCUAGUGCGGAAAUUCAUCUGCAUAAUUUGUGGUAGUGGGGAACUACAUUUACACUCUUCCCUG